ACAAUAAAUCACAAUGCGGAACUUCUGUUUUGCAAUUGGAUUGAGAACAACGCACAACACUUAUCGAUAAACAAUUGGAGGGCAAGUCUGGUGCCAGCAGCCGCGGUAAUUCCAGCUCCAAUAGCGUAUAUUAACGUUGUUGCAGUUAAAAAGCUCGUAGUUGAAGUGAAGUGUGAACCUUCUGGAUUUUCGUUCGAAUUUCUUGCUGGUUCGCACUCUUUCCAAAUAGUUUGCAUGGGUAUUCACUUAUCUGUGUAUUGCAUUUGGUCAUUUACUGUGAGAAAAUUAGAGUGUUCAAAGCAUACGUUUGUUUGAAUACAUUAGCAUGGAAUAAUUCGAAAAGGCUUUCAUGUUCGAUUUGAUUGGUUUGUUCGUGAAGGCAAGAUUAAAAGGGACAGUUGGGGGUAUUCAUAUUCAAUAGUCAGAGGUGAAAUUCUCGGAUUUAUGGAAGAUGAACAA
rnacentral:rRNA from 1 species